rnacentral:rRNA from 1 species
AUUGAACGCUGGCGGCAGGACUAACACAUGCAAGUCGCACGAGUUGCGAACGGGUGAGUAACGCAUGGUAACCUGCCUGGCAGCGGGGGAUAACUAUUGGAAACGGUAGCUAAUACCGCAUACCAUCGGAUGUGCCCAGAUGGGAUUAGCUAGUAGGUGGGGUAAAGGCGCACAGAGGCGACGAUCCCUAGCUGGUCGGAGAGUAUAACAAGCAACACUGUAACCUAGACACGGGCCAGACUCCUACGGGAGGACGCCGUGGGGAAUAUUGCACAAUGGGCUCAAGCCUGAUGCAGCCAUGCCGCUUGUAUGAAGAAGGCCUUCGGGUUGUAAAGUACUUUCAGCGGGGCGGCGUUACCCGCAGAAGAAGCCCCGGCUAACUCCGGGCCAGCAGCCGCGGUAAUAC